GGCCAGCAGACCCAAGAGUAGGGCUUUUCCCAAAGAGGGGAGACUAUAGCUUACAUACGCAUGAAGAAAACAGCGGGCAGGGGCACCAGAAACAAACAGGAAGAUCCUUCUGAGCCCAAGAGUGGAGGAAACUCAGAACCACAGCUGAAGAAAUAAUGGGAAACACAGCCCCAGGCAGAAGGGCAGACACAUUCCCCAGGAACUCAGCUGCACCAGGGCCUGGGGCCUGCGAAUCUGGAAGGCAUCAUGCUGGAACCAGGCUCACUGACUGGGGCCUUCUCUGAGAUGUUUCUACAGUUGGGAAUCCAUGUGCUGUUGCCAUAGAUGUCAACCCUGGUGCCCAUGGGCUCUUUGGACCACACUGUGACUUUGGCUACUUCCCUAAACACUGUCAUCAUGACCUCAACUGUCUACAGCAAAGCUGUCUACAUCUCUUCCCUCUGCUCCACAUAACAGUGGAAUGAACACUGGUCAUCUAAGUGUUCACAGGACACAUAACUACACUUGUUGCAGCCCAAGCAAGUGGGAAGCUUGGAACUUGAGAGACCACACUUCCUGCAGAGACCCCUGGGGCACAGUUCUGUCCACAGCCCUCUGAGUCUCCAGAGUGGGAAGGAAAGAAAGCAAACAGGAGAGGAUCCAGCUCUUUUCCGGGAGCCAGAACCUGACCCCAUUGCUAAUUCUCCUGGAAGCCACUUCAGAUCCCCUCUUAUGUCCACUAUAAUUAAGUAGAUAAUUCAGAAGUUUUAGAAAAAUGGCCAACAUGAAAAGUUAAAGGGCCUCAGCCACCUAAGGGUUCACCCUUCCAGUUCCAUUCCCGUGUUCUGAAAAAGGGAUGCUUUCAGAUAAAGCUACAGGAAAAACACUGCUUGCCAAGGCAAGAGGGGAUAAUGAGCCUGAACUCAGCGGUGGCUGACCGCCAGCCAGGUCCCACCAGGGUCAUCAUUCGGCAUUCCAAGCCUUGUCCUCCAAGCCUUCCAGCAAACGGCACAGCAGCUCCCUUUUACAUUAGCUCAGAAAUACGGACUCCUUCUCCAUCCUUCUGGGAGCUCUCCGUGUCUAGGGCUUCUUCUGGGUCACAGGCAGUCUCUGCCUUUUUCUGACAGGUUAAAGGGCUUAAGUCUCCUUUUAUUCCAGAACAAGAAUCCUAUAAUCAUUUUGCCCCUGAUGUUGAGUUAGCUGACCCCACGAAGCAAUGGUUUUCAUCAGAGAGAUACCGAGAGCGACAAUGGUAUUCAGGAUGAUGCAAUGUCAAAACCGAGGGAAAAGAUUGUUCAGAAACAGUUACUGACUGAUAGAAAAUCUGGGCCUUUGGGGAAUAGUAGAUAAGUUCACAGUUUCCCCACCAUGGACCUCCCCAACAAUAAUACAGGCUGCAAGCUCAUCCCAGAGUAACUGUAGCACCCUCGCCUGCCUCCUUCUGCCUAUAACUUCAACCAAUUGCAGUUCUCUGCCUCAGCUAUAUCUCAGUUGCUUCACAUGCAUAGACACUGGCAAACAUGCCACAGAUGCUCAUCUACAGCCUCUCUAGAAGAGCAAUUAAAGACUGCACCCAGUGUCAGCAAUGUCACACAGAUUAACAAAGAUUAACCUCAAAUUGGCAGUUUGAUUCCUGGAAUUUCGACCCAUUAUGUGUUUGUGCAAACCAACAGUUCACUUUACUCUGCUAAUUACAGAUGAAUGGGCCCUACCAUAGUCUUCUGUUUCUUUCCCAGUUGAGUGAUCCAGUUUGAGGACUGGUUUUAAAGUCACUGCAAUAGACAGCAUAGAUGCCAAAGUGCCCAGUUUCUUAUUCACCCCCAGUUAGCUGCCUGCAAAACGUGUCUAAAAUUAUUCUUAAUUCCAAGUUCUCUCUGUACAAUCAGCCUCUCCAAUAUAAUAGUUCUAAAACCUUUUCUUGAUUUCUGCUUUUAAUAAAGUACAUUUAGAGAGGA